AGAAGCUCAGCAAUUAGUGCAUCCACUUCGUGUGAUCGUGCUCAUUUCCAUUGAAUUCCACUCAAGAUGCCUGGUCCCUGCUGCGUUGAUAAAUGCGAGUGCGCCGAGGGAGGCUGCAAGAAAGGUUGCGUGUGCAAGAGCUGUCGGUGCGAACCCUGUGAAAAAUGCACAACGGGGUUUUCUUGUCCCUCGAAGGAGGACUGUGCCAAGACUUGCCCCAAGCCAUGCAAGUGUUGUCCAUAGGCAGCCAUGAGGCGUU